GUGAGUAUGGUGAACAGUGGUGAGUAUAGUGAGCGGUGUUGAGUAUGGUGAACGGUGGUGCGUAUAGUGAGCGGUGUUGAGUAUAGUGAACGGUGGUGAGUAUGGUGAACAGUGGUGAGUAUAGUGAGCGGUGUUGAGUAUGGUGAACGGUGGUGAGUAUAGUGAGUGGUGUUGAGUAUAGUGAACGGUGGUGAGUAUGGUGAACAGUGGUGAGUAUAGUGAGCGGUGUUGAGUAUGGUGAACGGUGGUGAGUAUAGUGAGCGGUGUUGAGUAUAGUGAGCGGUGUUGAGUAUAGUGAGCGGUGUUGAGUAUAGUGAACGGUGUCAGUACUCUGUUAUGUGUAAGCAGGUGUCAGCAGGUGGUGUAUAAACAGAUCACGGUGUUCUGGUUCUUUUUUCCAGGGUGAGGAGUGUUUUGGCGGUGCGGCGGCGCGGCCGGUGGUCUCGGGGGAUCGGAGGGGGCUGUUGACGGCUGAGCGCGGUUCUGUCUGCCGGAUAAGUAAUUGCUCUUUAUUAUUAAACCCCGCGGGCGUUUCACCAGACGCCGCUCACCGGCCUGUUUUUCCCCCGCUGUACCUGAGCUCAGGUGUGAGCAGCAGCAGCAGCGACACUCCGAGCCGAUUGGCUCCUCCCCGGGCGGACGUGACCGAGAACCGGCCAGUGGCUGAGCGGGACGGGGGGGUGGUCCCGCCCCCUGUGGCGUGUGAUAGGCCAGCGGAGCGGCAGAGGCCAGAGGCGCCGUGCGGAGGAGGAGGAGGAGAUGAUGGAGGUAGAGAUGGAGGUAGAGAUGGAGGUGGAGGACGUGGAGACGAUGAGAUGAACCCGUGGGACAUGUUCUGUCCCGCUCCAGACCUGCUAGGAACCCCGUCCUCUUCCCCAGAGACCAGUAUAGGUCCUCUCUCUCAGGAGAGCCAAUCACUGCUGCCCACAGCGACCAGCACCUGGGCCCAGUCCCCCAAUCACAGCGCAGAACAGGGUUCAGGCAGUAGCGGUGACACGCCCUAUCCGGGACCACACCCAUACCUGCACAGCUCCGCCCACGUGACUGAAAAGACCACACCCACAACCCACCGAACUCAGGACAAGCAGCAGGCGCUGACUCCGCCCACACGUGCCACGAAGGGCGUGGCCCUGCACGCACAGGACGACGCCCCAAAAGAUCCGUCCUUCAAACGGACUCUGCAGACCCCAGCAGAGGACCCGCCCCCUAAACAGGUAAUAGCAGAUCUGCACAGGUAACAACAGCACCAGUCAAAAGUUUAGACACACCUCUUCUCUCUGAUUCAGU
rnacentral:lncRNA from 1 species